rnacentral:rRNA from 1 species
UACGAAGGGGGCUAGCGUUGCUCGGAAUCACUGGGCGUAAAGCGCACGUAGGCGGAUCUUUAAGUCAGGGGUGAAAUCCCGGAGCUCAACUCCGGAACUGCCUUUGAUACUGGGGAUCUUGAGUUCGAGAGAGGUGAGUGGAACUGCGAGUGUAGAGGUGAAAUUCGUAGAUAUUCACAAGAACACCAGUGGCGAAGGCGGCUCACUGGCUCGAUACUGACGCUGAGGUGCGAAAGCGUGGGGAGCAAACAGG